UUGUAAUAGUUUAUUUUGAUAACAUCUGCAGAGGUCUUAUGGUUUAAAUUAAUACAUAUAGAAAGAUAUUAUAAUAGACAAUAUUAAGGAGAAUAUUGAUAUUGUUAUUAAUGUAUUAUGAAGCAUAGGGGUAAUGUUUACUCUAUGCAAAUGUAAAUGGCAAGAAUUAAUGUACUGCAUGAGAGUGACUGUUAGUAUUAUAGAUUGACGAAGCCGGUUGAAAUCCGUGACGUGACUUACAAUAACAAGAGACUUUUAUUGUGAAGGUGACUUUAAUUGACCGGACUCUUAUUGUGAAAAUACCGGAAGUGAGGUUUGACCGGAAACAGGAAGAGUAUAAGACGGCGUGUUUUUGUAGGGAACGUUCUCUUUUUCAGGUAAGCUGGACCCAGGUGGGUGUGCUCCCGUGAGCUCCCGGAGGAGCCGAGAGCAGGGACACGAGGAGAGCGCCUCGAAUGAUUGUUUUACACUUCUUGCCAUUAAAUGUUGAUAACUUAAUCCAUGCGCGUCCGGAAGCCUGUUUUUCCACCAUCUGCGUAGUGCCCCAGUUUUGAGAAUACCUUACAAUUUGGAAACCACGGAAGGCGAAACUGAGAUGGGCCGCCAGAGUUACGGGACUAAGGACACGUUCAUGCGGUGAGUAGCUCGCGCUAAGCUAUCGAACUAUUUAUGCCGUCAGAACAGGACGGGGCACAAGCCCGCCGGAGAGUUUAACAAGCAAUCGACGCUGUGUGUGUGUGUGUUUUAUGUGUUUUUCCCAAUCGCCUUUUGCAUGAUUCUGCGCGUUUAGUGGCAUUUACGCGGGCAAGUCGGCCACGUUUGGCCCGCGUGGUUGAUCGAACGCUUCGUGUCACGGAUGAGUAGUCGUGUGUGUUUGUUCCAGUGCGUCUGCAUGUUCUGCGCGUUUAGUGGCAUUUACGCGUGAAAGUCGCCCACGUGUGGGCCGUGUGGUCGAUCGAGCGCUUCGUGUUACUGAUGUGAAGUCGUGUGUAAGAUUGGGUGUGUUUGUGUCUUUCUGUAGUGCGUUUGCACGGAUGGCUGUCUCACGCUUUUCACGUGUAGUCUCUUUUCUGUUCCUUGUGUUGUAGAGAUUUUUCCACUCUCUCUUCACGGUUUUCCACGUGUUAUCUUGUGUGUGUUUUGUGUGUGUGUGGCCUUGUGUGAGUGGCCACGUGUGAGGCCAUGUCGAGUGUGUGGCCUGUGUACUCCACACCAGGUGUGUCGCUGCUGCAACAGCGUUGUGUAUUUAUUAGUUACAUGUUUUUGUCAUAUUGUGCGUUCCUCGUUGUUCGUUUUGUCUUGUGAGUUUCACGUUUUGUAGAAGAGCUGUGGCUCAAUGAUGUGCCUGGAAGCCAGGAGUGCUUGGCACAUAGUAAAUUUGACAAAGACGACGCGGGGUCUCUCUAAGAGCACGUUAGAAAACUAAUAUAAACAUCCGUAAACUAGCGCACGGCGGCGAACGACGCUGUUACGAGAUUAAAGUUACAUACGUAAGCUGGUGUACGUCGGCGCACUGCACAGUUACAAGAUCAUUGUCCCACAAAACUCAGUUGGGUGGCCCGUGUAAGUUGGUAAUGUACGUUAGACCCUUGUUUAACAUGUCCGGCAUUGACAAUAUUCACUAAAGGGGAUCCUUCUUAUAAAUACGGCGUGUUUUUGUUUUAUGUUUGUCCUGUGUUAAAUCCACCAUUUUGAGUUAGAUGAGAGCAAGGGACAUUUGGUCCUUUGUUCACCCACAUGGUCGUUUGGGGGUUGAAUACAUUUACAUAAGUUAGGACGCCAUUCCUCGUUGUUUAGCUGGUUAAUGUGCGUUUGACCCUUGUCUAACAUGUCCGCCAUUGACAGCAUUCAUUUGCUGCAGCUUUAUGUGGUGUGAGGGUUUUUGUUAGUGGGCGUUUGACCCUUGUUUGACAUGUCCGCCAUUGACGGAAUUCUUACAUUGCUGCAGCAUUUGUUUCGACGAGGUGUGAGAGGGUGCGUUAUGUAUUUUGUGUGCUGUAUUCACCCCAAUUUGCAUUUUUUUCCCCUACUGCACUGCAUCCACAAUUAGACACAUAGUGUAGAAUAAAAUAGGAUUUUUCUGUGCUCUACAUUUACAUUUCCCUACAUAUAUUAAGCCUCAGUACCUGAUCCCCCUUAACAAGCAAGAAGUUGACUGCAACAUGCAUCCACCUGGGUUUCCUGAAUCAAAGGUUGUUUCAGAAAAAGGAGGGAUGGGAGAUGCAGAGACAGUUGUGGCGUUCGAGGAGUGAUCAGGUCUGACUGGCACACAGUUUUGCAACCAAACACUUAACACAUUCAGAAACAAGCACCUACAUGAAGAAAUAUAUCUAGAGAACACAUUCACAGGAGCAGACUAUCGCCCAGGGAGGGGAUAGCAGAGUUCAUGGCGUGGCUUUGGAGAUUAUUUGAGGAAUGAACUAACCAGAGUUAAGUUUUUUCUUUGAGCAGGUUACCGGAGCCCACCAGGAGCCAGUGGACUAAGUCCAGGCGAAUGGGGUGCUCUGGGGUCAUUGCAAGGACCUCAGAGUGCCCUCGAUCUGUUUUAGGGUUCGAGCACGAGAAAGGAGGGUGCUGGACGAAUACCUGCCUGCUAUCAGAUCCUAGUAGGAUUUGAAUAUUUCUAUGCCCUAGUCAAGGGCCAUAGAUAGGAUCAAUUACAUUUAUCAUAACCAGUAAAGAUAAAUACUUAUUUAAAUAUAGAAAUUAUGAUAUAGACAAUUUUUCAUAGUCAAGUGUCACAUUCUGUAUAGAGCUGGCCUAGUGGCCGCUGUGUUGUGUUGUGUUUUCUCAUUUUCUCCAACAGCUACACCUGACGCUCCAGCAUCGACCUCCAUCGUGUGCUGACUGCCUGCUGUGAAGACCUGCCAUGAGGAGCUGCCCACAGGAGCAUCGGACACCAUCAUCACCCGGCUCAGAGAGACUGAGGAGCAGACGGAGCCAUCCUGAGGAAGAAGAACAGAUGACAUCAUGUGGAUAUGCAAAUCCACCGACGGACGGCGCAGCCAGUGAAAACCAUGAGGAAUAAUAUCUCCCCAGGGGCUGGGACGCCCGGGAGGUUUGAGACAGGCUCCAGAGAGACAAGGCUUUUCCGACCUUUUGGAUGACGGCAGAGAACCACGGCAUGCAGGUAGCUGCAUGUAGGCCGAGAUCCUUGAGAAGUCCUCAGCUGAGAUUUAGUGAGUGUGAAUUGCUGGUAGACAGUUAACUGCUUGCAGUCUGUGGACGCAGUAGUUCAUGCUCCCUCAGCUGAGUGGGACGAUCACAACCAUCAUUGACAAUCUGCUUGGAGGAACUGGAGUUGCAGAGCAUGUAUGCGGAGGGACUGGAUUCACAGGGAAGCACAGACACUUAGACAGUGCACACGUUACAUCAACCGGAGCCAUCAGGACAGCAAGAUUUUUCACCUGUGUGAUGAAUACAUUCACACUGACACUUAGUGUUAUUUAGUUUCCUUGAGAAGCAGGGAUGCAAGGAGGGAGUGAUGUUCUUCUUCCACAGGAUGCUGAAUGAUAAUGAGUGAUAAUUAAAAUGUUGUACAAUGUUUGUUUACAUAGAGGGUCAAAAUAAAAGGGCUAUUACUGGGUUGUUUAUACUAUUGGAUAAGUAUAAAAGGAGGGAUUGUUAAGUUGUAAUAGUUUAUUUUGAUAACAUCUGCAGAGGUCUUAUGGUUUAAAUUAAUACAUAUAGAAAGAUAUUAUAAUAGACAAUAUUAAGGAGAAUAUUGAUAUUGUUAUUAAUGUAUUAUGAAGCAUAGGGGUAAUGUUUACUCUAUGCAAAUGUAAAUGGCAAGAAUUAAUGUACUGCAUGAGAGUGACUGUUAGUAUUAUAGAUUGACGAAGCCGGUUGAAAUCCGUGACGUGACUUACAAUAACAAGAGACUUUUAUUGUGAAGGUGACUUUAAUUGACCGGACUCUUAUUGUGAAAAUACCGGAAGUGAGGUUUGACCGGAAACAGGAAGAGUAUAAGACGGCGUGUUUUUGUAGGGAACGUUCUCUUUUUCAGGUAAGCUGGACCCAGGUGGGUGUGCUCCCGUGAGCUCCCGGAGGAGCCGAGAGCAGGGACACGAGGAGAGCGCCUCGAAUGAUUGUUUUACACUUCUUGCCAUUAAAUGUUGAUAACUUAAUCCAUGCGCGUCCGGAAGCCUGUUUUUCCACCAUCUGCGUAGUGCCCCAGUUUUGAGAAUACCUUACAUCACCAACAGCUGAGGCCAAUCAGUCGCUAUCCAAAAUAAAAUACAUUCAGAAACAUAUUGUUCCUCAUUCUGUAAAAAAAUGUUUUCUUCCUGACUGGAAGAUCGACGUCAGAAAAGAUCUCCGCCUGAUUCAUGAACGCCUGAAAACGGGUUCUCUUACACAGCCGUGUUCUCAGACGUGCUCCCAGAAAGAGGGGAAUGCAGUUCACAGUGGUACUACAGAAACAGAUCACUUGCAGCAAGGGAUCCCUUCCCUCGAUAUGGAGAGACCCCAUUCAUGCGAAUUGGGGCCGGAAAGGAAGUUCACACCUGGCUCGGAGAGACUGAGUAGCAGACGGAGAGGCAUCCUGAGGACCCCUGCGAUGCCAUUCAGAGCGGGGGACGGAACGACUCAGAGGAAGAGGGACAGAUGACUUCAAGUGUCAAGGGGCGUGGACACGCUUUCAACACCGACGGACAGACGGCUCAGCCAAUGAGUGGAUUAGGACUAAUGUUUUACCUAGACAGGUUAACCAAUGAGAAGUGAAUAUCUCCCCUGGGGCCGGGACACCCGGGAGGUAUAAAAACAGAUGUUGACCAGAAAGACAAGGCUUUUUGACCUUUGGAUGAUGGAGGAGAUGCACUGCAUGCAGGUUAGCUGCAUGUAGGCCGUUGAUCCUGUGAGAAGCCCUCAGCUGAGGAUUAGAUUUAGUGAGCUUGACUCACUGUUAGACAGUUAACUGCUUUGGCGGUCUGUGGACAGUGAUUUAUGCUCCCUCAGCUGAGUUAUACUCUGUAUCUGAACAGUUAUUAGUUAUUAUCAACGAUUGGUAAUACUUUUUAUUAAAUACAUUUUAUUAGAACU